GUACACUCGCCCGAAUGACCCUUCCCCGAUAACCUCCAAAAUAUGAUACAGAUCCAUCAUGAAGGCCGGAGUCCGGAGACUUUUCAGCCUUUCAAAAAGCCCUCCUAGUCUCAUAUGACAACCAGGAGCCAGUUCCAUCAUCUUUAGCCCAUGAUGUAGUGUCACUGAGAGACACCGCUCCACCACUAGUCUCCUCUGAGGUUACGGCUGUCAUCUUCACCACUGCCAGAUCUCCAGGUGUCACCAUGUACGGUGGGCAGGAGUAGCUGGAGGCAGAGGUGUAGGAUGCUGCUGGGUAUGGGACAUCUUCCAGGGGUUGUAGAGUAUAAGGCUGAGAGCUGGAUGGGACGGAGCUCCCACUGCGCCCCGAGGAUAGACGGUAUGGAGAGGAACCGCCAGAGUCAGGCCCUCCGAGAGAUGGUGAGUCUGCCACGGGGACUGGACCCUCAGGACAUAUGACUUCUGACUGAGUGACUGGGUCCUCUGAUGGCUGCUCCCAAGGGUCUCUCUGCAGCAUAGAGAAAUAAUUAUAACAAUUAAUUUUCACAUUCC